GGCAGCGGCGGCGGCGACAGCAGCGGCGGCGGCGACGGCCGUGAGAGCGAAAGAGGAAGGUAGAGCGAAUACAUACGCUGCUCUCUCACAUGUGCAUGCGUGCGUACCCGAAAAUAAGAAUAAAGGAGAAAGACGAAAGGGCGGAAGGAAGCAAAGAAGGAAGGAAGGAAAGAAGGAAGGAAUAAGUCGUACCGAGAUGCGAGACAGAGAAAGUCCUUGCCAUUGGUGGGAAGGGGAGAAAAGGAGAGCAAGAGGCGACGUUUACGCGAUUCUCCAGUCGUCUGAAGGUCCCCCAUCUCCUACCGCUUCGUUGUCUCCCCCGAUGUACACGUGUGUCUCUAUAUGUGUAUGUGUGUGCGCGCCACGCGGUGCGGCUCAACGCAAAAGGGCUGCCUGGAGCGGGAGGAGAGGACGCUGGAGAGUAGUAGAACGCGCAGGAAAGGGAAAAGAUCCGAGGAGGCAGCAGCAGCAGCAGUAAGCGAAGGCAAAGGGAAAAAACGAAGCGCAUAUAUCGGGGCCGGCCUACGACGCCGACGACGACGACGACGACGACGGCGACGCCGAGGACACACACACGUGCACGCAAAACGAAGGAUUCUCCUACUAUGUCACCGCCGCCCUACAGGGCUCCUGAUCGGCUACCGCUAGCAAGGGCCGCGAACCGCUUGAGGACCAAGCAGGACUGACCCUUUCACCCGCACUAUGCUACAUUAUCUAUUUUUAUAGAAUGAAACAAGUAUAUAUUAAGGGUACCAGAAUAUGUAAUUUCGUAUUAGAAAAAAAAAUGAAACACACUUAAAAGUAGAAAAAAUAAGUGGGGACAAAUGAAAGCUGAUUACGAUGCAUAAAAUUAGUAUACCGGUUCUCAUUUAUUCUCAUUUAUUUUUUCUGCUUGUCGCAGAUUCAAUAUUUCGAAAGCUUUCUUUCUAAUUCUAAUAAUGUAUAUGUAAUAAAUCGAAUAUAUUUUACCCAAAGUAACGCUAAAAGCGAAAAAAUAUUGUUUAUAUACUACUGCUCUCAAAUAAAUGACUACAAAAUACGACAAUAAUAUGACACAAUUUGGAACAAAA